CCAGCGAUCCGCCUGAGUUCCUUAAAUGACUCGGCGGGCAGCUUCCGGGAAACCAAAGUUUUUCGGUUCCGGGGGAAGUAUGGUUGCAAAGCUGAAACUUAAAGGAAUUGACGGAAGGGCACCACCAGGAGUGGAGCCUGCGGCUUAAUUUGACUCAACACGGGAAAACUUACCCGGCCCGGACACUGGCAGGAUUGACAGAUUGAGAGCUCUUUCUUGAUUCAGUGGGUGGUGGUGCAUGGCCGUUCUUAGUUGGUGGAGCGAUUUGUCUGGUUAACUCCGAUAACGAACGAGACUCUAGCCUACUAAAUAGGCCACCGGCUUACUGACGUCGGUGGGACUUCUUAGAGGGACAGGCGGCGAUUCAGCCGCACGAAACAGAGCAAUAACAGGUCUGUGAUGCCCUUAGAUGUCCGGGGCCGCACGCGCGCUACACUGAAGUGAUCAGCGUGCAUUACAAACCUGCUCCGUCAGGAGUGGGGAACCCAAUGAACCUUCUUCGUGAUUGGGAUAGGGGAUUGUAAUUAUUCCCCUUGAACGAGGAAUUCCCAGUAAGCGCGAGUCAUAAGCUCGCGUUGAUUACGUCCCUGCCCUUUGUACACACCGCCCGUCGCUACUACCGAUUGAAUGAUUUAGUGAGGUCUUCGGACUGGCCGGCGCAGCUGUCUUCGGGCGGCCGCGCUGUGUUUGGA
rnacentral:rRNA from 1 species